GCGUAACGAGUGGUUCUCCUCCCAUUUUCACUCGUUGCGUGUUCCCCUCUGGACGCUUUAGCGUUCACAAUUCGCCGGGCUUCUGCCCGGCUUUU
rnacentral:sRNA from 1 species